GGCGAUGUAGCUCAGCUGGUUAGAGCACGGGAUUCAUAACCCCGGGGUCGGUGGUUCAAGUCCACCCAUCGCCACCA
rnacentral:tRNA from 9 species